rnacentral:misc_RNA from 1 species
AACUAUCAAGCCAGGAUGCUUUCUUGCUUCCUGGUCUUGGUUUAUUGGGCUUUGCCGUGCCCCUUCAUUGGGAACGGCUGGCCUUAAAAGCAUUAGCUGACUCCAUGUGGUUAUUGGUAUUCUACUUGGCGUGAUAAUAAUCUGACCGCUGAGAAAGUGUCCUUUCGGGGAUGGCCAAUUUUCAUGUGGGGUUGCUCCUAAUCUCUGGAGCUUUCAUGUUCCAUUUUCAA